rnacentral:rRNA from 1 species
GGACCUCUUUUGAGGUCAGCGGCGGACGGGUGAGGAACACGUGGGUAAUCUGCCUUUCAGACCGGAAUAACGCCCGGAAACGGGCGCUAAUGCCGGAUACGCCCGCGAGGAGGCAUCUUCUUGCGGGGAAAGGCCCAAAUGGGCCGCUGAGAGAGGAGCCCGCGGCGCAUUAGCUGGUUGGCGGGGUAACGGCCCACCAAGGCGACGAUGCGUAGCCGACCUGAGAGGGUGACCGGCCACACUGGGACUGAGACACGGCCCAGACUCCUACGGGAGGCAGCAGUAGGGAAUCUUCCGCAAUGGGCGCAAGCCUGACGGAGCAACGCCGCGUGAGCGAAGAAGGCCUUCGGGUUGUAAAGCUCUGUUGCUCGGGGAGAGCGGCAUGGGGAGUGGAAAGCCCCAUGCGAGACGGUACCGAGUGAGGAAGCCCCGGCUAACUACGUGCCAGCAGCCGCGGUAAAACGUAGGGGGCGAGCGUUGUCCGGAAUCACUGGGCGUAAAGGGUGCGUAGGCGGUCGAGCAAGUCUGGAGUGAAAGUCCAUGGCUCAACCAUGGGAUGGCUCUGGAAACUGCUUGACUUGAGUGCUGGAGAGGCAAGGGGAAUUCCACGUGUAGCGGUGAAAUGCGUAGAGAUGUGGAGGAAUACCCGUGGCGAAGGCGCCUUGCUGGACAGUGACUGACGCUGAGGCACGAAAGCG